CCGGCGAUUUCCGAAUGGGGAAACCCAGUGUGAUUCGUCACACUAUCAUUAACUGAAUCCAUAGGUUAAUGAGGCGAACCGGGGGAACUGAAACAUCUAAGUACCCCGAGGAAAAGAAAUCAACCGAGAUUCCCCCAGUAGCGGCGAGCGAACGGGGAGGAGCCCAGAGCCUGAAUCAGUGUGUGUGUUAGUGGAAGCGUCUGGAAAGGCGUGCGAUACAGGGUGACAGCCCCGUACACAAAAAUGCACAUACUGUGAGCUCGAUGAGUAGGGCGGGACACGUGGUAUCCUGUCUGAAUAUGGGGGGACCAUCCUCCAAGGCUAAAUACUCCUGACUGACCGAUAGUGAACCAGUACCGUGAGGGAAAGGCGAAAAGAACCCCGGCGAGGGGAGUGAAAAAGAACCUGAAACCGUGUACGUACAAGCAGUGGGAGCCUCUUAAUGGGGUGACUGCGUACCUUUUGUAUAAUGGGUCAGCGACUUAUAUUCUGUAGCAAGGUUAACCGAAUAGGGGAGCCGAAGGGAAACCGAGUCUUAACUGGGCGUUAAGUUGCAGGGUAUAGACCCGAAACCCGGUGAUCUAGCCAUGGGCAGGUUGAAGGUUGGGUAACACUAACUGGAGGACCGAACCGACUAAUGUUGAAAAAUUAGCGGAUGACUUGUGGCUGGGGGUGAAAGGCCAAUCAAACCGGGAGAUAGCUGGUUCUCCCCGAAAGCUAUUUAGGUAGCGCCUCGUGAAUUCAUCUCCGGGGGUAGAGCACUGUUUCGGCAAGGGGGUCAUCCCGACUUACCAACCCGAUGCAAACUGCGAAUACCGGAGAAUGUUAUCACGGGAGACACACGGCGGGUGCUAACGUCCGUCGUGAAGAGGGAAACAACCCAGACCGCCAGCUAAGGUCCCAAAGUCAUGGUUAAGUGGGAAACGAUGUGGGAAGGCCCAGACAGCCAGGAUGUUGGCUUAGAAGCAGCCAUCAUUUAAAGAAAGCGUAAUAGCUCACUGGUCGAGUCGGCCUGCGCGGAAGAUGUAACGGGGCUAAACCAUGCACCGAAGCUGCGGCAGCGACACUAUGUGUUGUUGGGUAGGGGAGCGUUCUGUAAGCCUGUGAAGGUGUACUGUGAGGUAUGCUGGAGGUAUCAGAAGUGCGAAUGCUGACAUAAGUAACGAUAAAGCGGGUGAAAAGCCCGCUCGCCGGAAGACCAAGGGUUCCUGUCCAACGUUAAUCGGGGCAGGGUGAGUCGACCCCUAAGGCGAGGCCGAAAGGCGUAGUCGAUGGGAAACAGGUUAAUAUUCCUGUACUUGGUGUUACUGCGAAGGGGGGACGGAGAAGGCUAUGUUGGCCGGGCGACGGUUGUCCCGGUUUAAGCGUGUAGGCUGGUUUUCCAGGCAAAUCCGGAAAAUCAAGGCUGAGGCGUGAUGACGAGGCACUACGGUGCUGAAGCAACAAAUGCCCUGCUUCCAGGAAAAGCCUCUAAGCAUCAGGUAACAUCAAAUCGUACCCCAAACCGACACAGGUGGUCAGGUAGAGAAUACCAAGGCGCUUGAGAGAACUCGGGUGAAGGAACUAGGCAAAAUGGUGCCGUAACUUCGGGAGAAGGCACGCUGAUAUGUAGGUGAAGUCCCUCGCGGAUGGAGCUGAAAUCAGUCGAAGAUACCAGCUGGCUGCAACUGUUUAUUAAAAACACAGCACUGUGCAAACACGAAAGUGGACGUAUACGGUGUGACGCCUGCCCGGUGCCGGAAGGUUAAUUGAUGGGGUUAGCGGUAACGCGAAGCUCUUGAUCGAAGCCCCGGUAAACGGCGGCCGUAACUAUAACGGUCCUAAGGUAGCGAAAUUCCUUGUCGGGUAAGUUCCGACCUGCACGAAUGGCGUAAUGAUGGCCAGGCUGUCUCCACCCGAGACUCAGUGAAAUUGAACUCGCUGUGAAGAUGCAGUGUACCCGCGGCAAGACGGAAAGACCCCGUGAACCUUUACUAUAGCUUGACACUGAACAUUGAGCCUUGAUGUGUAGGAUAGGUGGGAGGCUUUGAAGUGUGGACGCCAGUCUGCAUGGAGCCGGCCUUGAAAUACCACCCUUUAAUGUUUGAUGUUCUAACGUUGGCCCCUGACCGGGGUUGCGGACAGUGUCUGGUGGGUAGUUUGACUGGGGCGGUCUCCUCCUAAAGAGUAACGGAGGAGCACGAAGGUUGGCUAAUCCUGGUCGGACAUCAGGAGGUUAGUGCAAUGGCAUAAGCCAGCUUGACUGCGAGCGUGACGGCGCGAGCAGGUGCGAAAGCAGGUCAUAGUGAUCCGGUGGUUCUGAAUGGAAGGGCCAUCGCUCAACGGAUAAAAGGUACUCCGGGGAUAACAGGCUGAUACCGCCCAAGAGUUCAUAUCGACGGCGGUGUUUGGCACCUCGAUGUCGGCUCAUCACAUCCUGGGGCUGAAGUAGGUCCCAAGGGUAUGGCUGUUCGCCAUUUAAAGUGGUACGCGAGCUGGGUUUAGAACGUCGUGAGACAGUUCGGUCCCUAUCUGCCGUGGGCGCUGGAGAACUGAGGGGGGCUGCUCCUAGUACGAGAGGACCGGAGUGGACGCAUCACUGGUGUUCGGGUUGUCAUGCCAAUGGCACUGCCCGGUAGCUAAAUGCGGAAGAGAUAAGUGCUGAAAGCAUCUAAGCACGAAACUUGCCCCGAGAUGAGUUCUCCCUGACUCCUUGAGAGUCCUGAAGGAACGUUGAAGACGACGACGUUGAUAGGCCGGGUGUGUAAGCGCAGCGAUGCGUUGAGCUAACCGGUACUAAUGAACCGUGAGG
rnacentral:rRNA from 1 species